AUAAAAGCAAAGAAGGGCGACCGGUGGAUGCCUUGGCUCUCGGAGGCGAUGAAGGACGUGAUAAGCUGCGAUAAGUCCGGGUUAGGUGCAAAUGACCUUUGACCCCGGAAUUUCCGAAUGGGACAACCCAAUCAUUUGAAGAAUGAUUAUCCGUUAUUACGGAGGCAUACGCGGGGAACUGAAACAUCUUAGUACCCGUAGGAGAAGAAAACAAUAGUGAUUCCCUUAGUAGUGGCGAGCGAACGGGGAGCAGCCCAAACCCAUCCUGUUGCGGCAGCAUGGGGGUUGUAGGACUUCGGUGUGGAUUUUAUCAAUGAAGUAGAAUGUGCUGGAAAGUACAGCCAUAGAGCGUGACAGCCGCGUACACGUAAGUUGUUAAAAUCCUAGAAGUAUCCUGAGUAGCGCGGGACACGUGAAAUCCUGUGUGAAUCAGCCGGGACCAUCCGGUAAGGCUAAAUAUAUCCGAGAGACCGAUAGUGUACCAGUACCGUGAGGGAAAGGUGAAAAGCACCUCAAGCCGAGGAGUGAAACAGACCCUGAAACCGUUCGCCUACAAGCGGUCGGAGCAUCUAUAUGAUGUGACGGCGUGCCUUUUGCAUAAUGAACCUACGAGUUACCGUCAAGUGCAAGGUUAAGUGCCAAGAGGCACGUAUCCGAAGCGAAAGCGAGUCUGAAUAGGGCGCAUAGUAGUUGGCGGUAGACGCGAAACCGAGUGAUCUACCCUUGACCAGGUUGAAGUUUGGGUAAAACCAACUGGAGGACCGAACCGAUAAGCGUUGAAAAGCUUCCGGAUGAGUUGAGGGUAGGAGUGAAAGGCCAAUCAAACUCGGAGAUAGCUCGUACUCCCCGAAAUGCAUUUAGGUGCAGCCUCGGAUUAGCCCUGUAGAGGUAGAGCGACUGAUAAGAUGCGAGGGUUUCACCGCCUAUCAAGUCUUGAUAAACUCCGAAUGCUACAGGAUGAUGUCCGGGAGUGAGGGCAUGGGUGCUAACGUCCUUGCCCGAGAGAAGAAGAAUUCAGACCAUCAGCUAAGGUCCCGAAAUGAUAACUGAGUUAGCGUGAUAACGAAGUCGGAUAGCAGUAACAGCUAGGAUGUUGGCUU
rnacentral:rRNA from 1 species